AGAGUUUGAUCCUGGCUCAGGAUGAACGCUGGCGGCGUGCCUAAUACAUGCAAGUCGAACGAGAAAGUUUCUUCGGAAAUGAUUAAAGUGGCGCACGGGUGAGUAACGCGUAGGUAAUCUACCUUGAGGUGGGGAAUAACUGAUCGAAAGAUUAGCUAAUACCGCAUAGUAUUUUUGUUUUUUCACAUACAAAAAUUAAAGAUUUAUCGCCUUAAUGAUGAGCCUGCGUCUGAUUAGCUUGUUGGUGGGGUAAAGGCCUACCAAGGCUCUGAUCGGUAACUGGUCUGAGAGGAUGAUCAGUCACACUGGGACUGAGACACGGCCCAGACUCCUACGGGAGGCAGCAGUAGGGAAUAUUGCACAAUGGGGGAAACCCUGAUGCAGCGACGUCGCGUGAGUGAUGAAGGCCUUCGGGUCGUAAAGCUCUGUUCUUAAGGAACAAACAAAUGAGGGUACUUAAGAAGAAAGGACCGGCUAAUUUCGUGCCAGCAGCCGCGGUAAGACGAGGGGUCCAAGCGUUAUCCGGAAUUAUUGGGCGUAAAGCGGGUGUAGGUGGCUUUGUUAGUCAGGAGUGAAAGUCUCAGGCUUAACCUGAGAAGUGCUUUUGAUACUGCAAGGGCUUGAGUUA
rnacentral:rRNA from 1 species